rnacentral:piRNA from 1 species
UCUCAUUUUGUAAAUAGUGGAAGAUGGUC